rnacentral:rRNA from 1 species
CGCGUAGGCGGGAUGGCAAGUCGGUCGUGAAAUCCUUCGGCUCAACCGAAGAACGUCGGCCGAUACUGCCGUUCUUGAGGGAUGCAGAGGAGGACUGGAAUUCCCGGUGUAGCGGUGAAAUGUGUAGAGAUCGGGAGGAACACCGGUGGCGAAGGCGGGUCUCUGGGCAUCUCCUGACGCUGAGGCGACGAAAGCGGUGGGGAGCAAACGGGAUUAGAUACCCCGGUAGUCCACGCCAUAAACGAUGACGACUAGGUGUGGGGUGGUUCAGUCCACUCCGUGCCGCAGCUAACGCAUUAAGUCGUCCGCCUGGGGAGUACGGCCGCAAGGUUGAA